CAUCGCUGCCCUUCCCAAAUACCCUGUUUUCAACAUUCAUAUCACAUAUCAGAUCAAUAACAAGAUUCUAAUCCUACUUAAUCCCAUUCACACAUGUUUAGAUCUUCAAGAUUGGCAAAACGAGAUAAUAUACUAAUAUUGAAAGUCUGGAUCUUGGGAACACAACUCCAACACCAGUAGCACAAAACCCAUUUAUAUUUAAAAAAUAGAUAGAUGAAGACUGUUCU